CCUACGGGAGGCAGCAGUAGGGAAUAUUGCUCAAUGGGGGAAACCCUGAAGCAGCAACGCCGCGUGGAGGAUGAAGGUUUUCGGAUUGUAAACUCCUUUUGUUAGAGAAGAUAAUGACGGUAUCUAACGAAUAAGCACCGGCUAACUCCGUGCCAGCAGCCGCGGUAAUACGGAGGGUGCAAGAGUUACUCGGAAUCACUGGGCGUAAAGAGCGCGUAGGCGGGAUAGCAAGUCAGAUGUGAAAUCCUAGGGCUUAACCAUAGAACUGCAUUUGAAACUGUUAUUCUAGAGUAUGGGAGAGGUAGGUGGAAUGCUUGGUGUAGGGGUAAAAUCCGUAGAGAUCAAGAGGAAUACUCAUUGCGAAGGCGACCUGCUAGAACAUAACUGACGCUGAUGCGCGAAAGCGUGGGGAGCAAACAGGAUUAGAUACCCGGGUAGUC
rnacentral:rRNA from 1 species